rnacentral:rRNA from 1 species
AUUGAACGCUGGCGGCAGGCCUAACACAUGCAAGUCGAACGAGUGGCGGACGGGUGAGUAAUGUCUGGUAAACUGCCCGCUGGAGGGGGAUAACUACUGGAAACGGUAGCUAAUACCUCCUACCAUCGGAUUUUCCCAGAUGGGAUUAGCUAGUAGGUGGGGUAAAGGCUCACCUAGGCGACGAUCCCUAGCUGGUCUGAGAGGAUGACCAGCAACACGGGAACGGAGACAAGGUCCAGAAUCCGACGGGAGGCAGCAGUGGGGAAUAUGGCACAAGGGGCGCAAGCGUGAUGCAGCCAUGCCGCGUGUAUGAAGAAGGCCUUCGGGUUGUAAAGUACUUUAAGCGGGGAGGCGUUACCCGCAGAAGAAGCACCGGCUAACUCCGUGCCAGCAGCCGCGGUAAUAC